rnacentral:lncRNA from 1 species
UUCCCAGGAAAGAAAAAAUAAAUAAAUAAUAUGUUUAUAGUGCAUUUUAAAAUAUGGGAACAAAUACAUGUUAUCAAAGAAAUGAAAUCAACUACAUCACCUAUGAAAAAGAGUGGGUAAAUAAUAUGGUAAACAUAAUGAAUGAAUUAUAACAAUAAAUGAAAAACAAACUAAUAUCAAUGAUGAUGACAAAACUUGCUACUUUUCCUAAUAGAGGGAAAGGAUAGUUUAGAGAUAGUUGCAAAGCAGAUUAAGACAUGAAGAGUGGA